ACUCCUACGGGAGGCAGCAGUGGGGAAUAUUGCACAAUGGGCGCAAGCCUGAUGCAGCAACGCCGCGUGAGGGACGACGGCCUUCGGGUUGUAAACCUCUUUUAGUAGGGAAGAAGCGAAAGUGACGGUACCUGCAGAAAAAGCACCGGCUAACUACGUGCCAGCAGCCGCGGUAAUACGUAGGGUGCAAGCGUUAUCCGGAAUUAUUGGGCGUAAAGAGCUCGUAGGCGGUUUGUCGCGUCUGCUGUGAAAACUGGAGGCUCAACCUCCAGCCUGCAGUGGGUACGGGCAAACUAGAGUGCGGUAGGGGAGAUUGGAAUUCCUGGUGUAGCGGUGGAAUGCGCAGAUAUCAGGAGGAACACCGAUGGCGAAGGCAGAUCUCUGGGCCGUAACUGACGCUGAGGAGCGAAAGCAUGGGGAGCGAACAGGAUUAGAUACCCUGGUAGUCCAUGCCGUAAACGUUGGGCACUAGAUGUGGGGACCAUUCCACGGUUUCCGUGUCGCAGCUAACGCAUUAAGCGCCCCGCCUGGGGAGUACGGCCGCAAGGCUAAAACUCAAAGGAAUUGACGGGGGCCCGCACAAGCGGCGGAGCAUGCGGAUUAAUUCGAUGCAACGCGAAGAACCUUACCAAGGCUUGACAUAUACCUGAAAAGGCUGGAAACAGUCUCCCCGCAAGGCAGGUAUACAGGUGGUGCAUGGUUGUCGUCAGCUCGUGUCGUGAGAUGUUGGGUUAAGUCCCGCAACGAGCGCAACCCUCGUUCUAUGUUGCCAGCACGUAAUGGUGGGAACUCAUAGGAGACUGCCGGGGUCAACUCGGA
rnacentral:rRNA from 1 species